CCUACGGGCGGCAGCAGUGAGGAAUAUUGGUCAAUGGACGAGAGUCUGAACCAGCCAAGUAGCGUGAAGGAUGACUGCCCUAUGGGUUGUAAACUUCUUUUAUAUGGGAAUAAAAUGUUCCACGUGUGGGAUUUUGUAUGUACCAUAUGAAUAAGGAUCGGCUAACUCCGUUCCAGCAGCCGCGGUAAUACGGAGGAUCCGAGCGUUAUCCGGAUUUAUUGGGUUUAAAGGGAGCGUAGGUGGAUUGUUAAGUCAGUUGUGAAAGUUUGCGGCUCAACCGUAAAAUUGCAGUUGAAACUGGCAGUCUUGAGUAUAGUAGAGGUGGGCGGAAUUCGUGGUGUAGCGGUGAAAUGCUUAGAUAUCACGAAGAACUCCGAUUGCGAAGGCAGUUCACUGGACUGCAACUGACACUGAGGCGCGAAAGUGUGGGUAUCAAACAGGAUUAGAUACCCUGGUAGUC
rnacentral:rRNA from 1 species